rnacentral:rRNA from 1 species
GAUGAACGCUGGCGGCGUGCCUAAUACAUGCAAGUCGAGCGAACAGACGAGGAGCUUGCUCCUCUGACGUUAGCGGCGGACGGGUGAGUAACACGUGGAUAACCUACCUAUAAGACUGGGAUAACUUCGGGAAACCGGAGCUAAUACCGGAUAAUAUAUUGAACCGCAUGGUUCAAUAGUGAAAUACGGUUUUGCUGUCACUUAUAGAUGGAUCCGCGCCGCAUUAGCUAGUUGGUAAGGUAACGGCUUACCAAGGCGACGAUACGUAGCCGACCUGAGAGGGUGAUCGGCCACACGGGAACUGAGACACGGACCAGACUCCUACGGGAGGCAGCAGUAGGGAAUCUUCCGCAAUGGGCGAAAGCCUGACGGAGCAACGCCGCGUGGGUGAUGAAGGUCUUCGGAUCGUAAAACUCUGUUAUUAGGGAAGAACAAAUGUGUAAGUAACUAUGCACGUCUUGACGGUACCUAAUCAGAAAGCCACGGCUAACUACGUG